rnacentral:lncRNA from 1 species
GUGCCGAUCAAGUUUCACCAAGAACCUGACUCCACCCUCACUCCAUCUUCUCUGGACUUCUGAAUUUUUUUUUUAAGACCUUCCUUACCCUUGUCUGGACUUGAUUAGGCUUUGUCUUAAGUAUCAAAACCUUGUCCUAAGACUAAGAAGGGAUGUAAGAAAGAAAGGAAAAGCAAGCGAGACAAAAUUGGAAAGAAACUUG